rnacentral:rRNA from 1 species
UGGCUUAGAAGCAGCCACUCAUUCAAAGAGUGCGUAAUAGCUCACUGGUCGAGUGACUUUGCGCCGAAAAUUCAACGGGGCUAAAACCUGCACCGAAGCUUAGGCAACGUCUUUGACGUUGGGUAGGGGAGCGUUGUGUACGCGGCGAAGUUAUAGCGUAAGCGGUAGUGGAGUGUACACAAGUGAGAAUGCCGGAAUGAGUAGCGAGAAUUGUGUGAGAAUCACAAUGGCCGAAAGCCUAAGGUUUCUGGAGGAAGGUUCGUCCGCUCCAGGUUAGCCGGGAGCUAAGGUGAGGCCGAAAGGCGUAGCCGAUGCACAUACGGUAGAGAUUCCGUAGCCACCGAAACAGUUAAGCAUGGGGACACUUUUGAAAUGUUCGAGCCAGGCGUUGGUUGCCCUGGUCGAAAGGGACCGAAAUUUAGUAGGGAAGUCGAGCAUGGAGAGAGGCGAGAAAAGCCAUGUGUAUUUGUCAGGUGCCCGUACCGCAAACCGACACAGGUAGGUAGGAAGAGGAUUCUAAGGCCAACGGGAGAAGGGUUGUUAAGGAACUCGGCAAGUUGACCCCGUAACUUCGGGAGAAGGGGUGCUCACGAGAGUGAGCCGCAGAGAAUAGGCCCAAGCAACUGUUUAGCAAAAACACAGGUCUGUGCUAAAUCGAAAGAUGACGUAUACGGGCUGACACCUGCCCGGUGCUGGAAGGUUAAGGGGAGUUGUGCAAGCAGCGAACUGAAGCCCCAGUAAACGGCGGCCGUAACUAUAACGGUCCUAAGGUAGCGAAAUUCCUUGUCAGGUAAGUUCUGACCCGCACGAAUGGCGUAAUGAUUUGGGCACUGUCUCAACAGCCCGCCCGGCGAAAUUGUAGUACCGGUGAAGAUGCCGGUUUCCCGCGACAAGACGGAAAGACCCCAUGGAGCUUUACUGCAGCCUAAUAUUGGGUUUCGAUAUUACAUGUACAGGAUAUGUGGGAGACAUGGAAGCACGGGCGUCAGCCUGUGUGGAGUCAGCCUUGGGAUACCACACUUGUGAUAUUGGAAUUCUAACCUGCGGCCCUGAAUCGGGUCGGGGGACAUUGUUAGGCGGGCAGUUUGACUGGGGCGGUCGCCUCCGAAAAAGUAACGGAGGCGUUCAAAGGUUGGCUCAGCUUGGACGGAAACCAAGCCAAAGAGUGCAAACGCAUAAGCCAGCCUAACUGCGAGACUGACGGGUCGAGCAGUAACGAAAGUUGGAGUUAGUGAUCCGGCGGUAUGUGAGUGGAAAUGCCGUCGCUCAACGGAUAAAAGUUACCCUGGGGAUAACAGGCUGAUCUCCCCCAAGAGUCCACAUCGACGGGGAGGUUUGGCACCUCGAUGUCGGCUCAUCGCAUCCUGGGGCUGUAUUCGGUCCCAAGGGUUUGGCUGUUCGCCAAUUAAAGCGGUACGCGAGCUGGGUUCAGAACGUCGUGAGACAGUUCGGUCCCUAUCUGUCGUGGGCGCAGGAUAUUUGAUGGGAUCUGUCCCUAGUACGAGAGGACCGGGAUGGACGCACCUCUGGUGCACCAGUUGUCACGCCAGUGGCACAGCUGGGCAGCUAUGUGCGGAUCGGAUAAACGCUGAAAGCAUCUAAGCGUGAAGCCGGCCUGGAGAUAAGAUAUCCCACUGAGAUAAUCAGGUAAGACCCCUUGA